rnacentral:rRNA from 1 species
GAUGAACGCUGGCGGCGUGCCUAAUACAUGCAAGUCGAGCGAACAGAUGAGGAGCUUGCUCCUCUGACGUUAGCGGCGGACGGGUGAGUAACACGUGGAUAACCUACCUAUAAGACUGGGAUAACUUCGGGAAACCGGAGCUAAUACCGGAUAAUAUAUUGAACCGCAUGGUUCAAUAGUGAAAGACGGUUUUGCUGUCACUUAUAGAUGGAUCCGCGCCGCAUUAGCUAGUUGGUAAGGUAACGGCUUACCAAGGCAACGAUGCGUAGCCGACCUGAGCGGGUGAUCGGCCACACUGGAACUGAGACACGGUCCAGACUCCUGCGGGAGGCAGCAGUAGGGAAUCUUCCGCAAUGGGCGAAAGCCUAACGGAGCAACGCCGCGUGAGUGAUGAAGGUCUUCGGAUCGUAAAGCUCUGUUAUUAGGGAAGAACAAAUGUGUAAGUAACUAUGCACGUCUUGACGGUACCUAAUCAGAAAGCCACGGCUAACUACGUG